AAAAUGGUCCUUUUAAGGACCACUUGACGCUAAAUAUUGGUACUUAU
rnacentral:ncRNA from 1 species